AUGAGGACGCAGAUCAAAGUCAUGUUUGUAUCACUGUGGUACACGUUUGGUGGAGGAACCAGACUGGAUCUUGGAAGUGAUGUCCGUCCGAAGCUGACAGUGCUGUCCCCCUCCAUGCAUGAGGGGAAGGCCACACUCCUGUGUCUGGCCAAUAAUGGCUUCCCUUCAGGCUGGACUCUGUCCUGGAAGGUGGGCGGCAGCAGCAUCAGCAGCAGCUGGGAGGAGAGCAGGAGCCCCGGGGUGCUGCAGAAGGACGGCCUCUACAGCUGGAGCAGCACCCUGAGGCUCCCUGCAGACCAGUGGGAGAAGCUGGACUCUGUGACCUGUGAGGCCACCCAGGACUCCCAGACUCCAGUCCCAGAGACUCUGUGGAGAAACCAGUGUUCCUAGUCACCACCUGACUGACUGGACAACAUUAUUGUGUUUUUGCUUUUACUGAGAUUUCAGCUGCAUUGACGUCUUUUUAAUCUUCUUUCUUUGUAUGCUAUAAAAACAUUUUUAUUAGACGUUACUUGUUUGAUACUUUCUGCACAAUAAAAAAUACUCUUCAAAGUUGUUUCAUUUGUGAUUUCUAACAAAUAUAUCAAUUUUAACUAAGACAUUUACAUCAAUAAAUUUGUAAAAUAAUUUCCAGAAUCUCUAUGUUGCUGUUGCAUUGAUGGAGUUCAUCCUGUUACUGUCAGAUAAAGGUGGGCUACAGUUUAUACCGGGGGUCACCGACGCAGUGCCCAUGGGGGCAACUUAAAGCGUCAGCAAGGCAUGCUCUAAAAAUAUUACAGAUCAUGAGGGAAUUCGAUAUAAUUUUUAAAUGUUUUUUUUCCGUUCUGACAAGAAGAUUGAUGAUUUCCUUGGCUUCAAAAUUGUUGAUCUAUUGAACCACCAAUACAACUAGUGUCCCUCCUGACUUUCUAAUAUUUCAGCAGAUAAACAGAAAUAAAUCAAUGUUUUAUGUUUA